GGGUUGUGAGGUUAAGCGACCAAGCGUACACGGUGGAUGCCCUGGCAGUCAGAGGCGAUGAAGGACGUGCUAAUCUGCGAAAAGCGCCGGUAAGGUGAUAUGAACCGUUAUAACCGGCGAUGUCCGAAUGGGGAAACCCAGUGUGACUCGUCACACUAUCAUUAACUGAAUCCAUAGGUUAAUGAGGCGAACCGGGGGAACUGAAACAUCUAAGUACCCCGAGGAAAAGAAAUCAACCGAGAUUCCCCCAGUAGCGGCGAGCGAACGGGGAGGAGCCCAGAGCCUGAAUCAGCAUGUGUGUUAGUGGAAGCGUCUGGAAAGGCGCGCGAUACAGGGUGAGAGCCCCGUACACAAAAGCGCACAUGCUGUGAGCUCGAUGAGUAGGGCGGGACACGUGGUAUCCUGUCUGAAUAUGGGGGGACCAUCCUCCAAGGCUAAAUACUCCUGACUGACCGAUAGUGAACCAGUACCGUGAGGGAAAGGCGAAAAGAACCCCGGCGAGGGGAGUGAAACAGAACCUGAAACCGUGUACGUACAAGCAGUGGGAGCCUCUCUUUAUGGGGGGUGACUGCGUACCUUUUGUAUAAUGGGUCAGCGACUUAUAUUCUGUAGCAAGGUUAACCGCAUAGGGGAGCCGAAGGGAAACCGAGUCUUAAUUGGGCGUUAAGUUGCAGGGUAUAGACCCGAAACCCGGUGAUCUAGCCAUGGGCAGGUUGAAGGUUGGGUAACACUAACUGGAGGACCGAACCGACUAAUGUUGAAAAAUUAGCGGAUGACCUGUGGCUGGGGGUGAAAGGCCAAUCAAACCGGGAGAUAGCUGGUUCUCCCCGAAAGCUAUUUAGGUAGCGCCUCGUGAACUCAUCUCCGGGGGUAGAGCACUGUUUCGGCUAGGGGGCCAUCCCGGCUUACCAACCCGAUGCAAACUGCGAAUACCGGAGAAUGUUAUCACGGGAGACACACGGCGGGUGCUAACGUCCGUCGUGAAGAGGGAAACAACCCAGACCGCCAGCUAAGGUCCCAAAGUCAUGGUUAAGUGGGAAACGAUGUGGGAAGGCCCAGACAGCCAGGAUGUUGGCUUAGAAGCAGCCAUCAUUUAAAGAAAGCGUAAUAGCUCACUGGUCGAGUCGGCCUGCGCGGAAGAUGUAACGGGGCUAAACCAUGCACCGAAGCUGCGGCAGCGACACUGUGUGUUGUUGGGUAGGGGAGCGUUCUGUAAGCCGUUGAAGGUGUCCUGUGAGGGGUGCUGGAGGUAUCAGAAGUGCGAAUGCUGACAUAAGUAACGAUAAAGCGGGUGAAAAGCCCGCUCGCCGGAAGACCAAGGGUUCCUGUCCAACGUUAAUCGGGGCAGGGUGAGUCGACCCCUAAGGCGAGGCCGAAAGGCGUAGUCGAUGGGAAACGGGUUAAUAUUCCCGUACUUGGUGUUACUGCGAAGGGGGGACGGAGAAGGCUAUGUUGGCCGGGCGACGGUUGUCCCGGUUUAAGCGUGUAGGUGUGUGUUCCAGGUAAAUCCGGUUCACUUUAACACUGAGGCGUGAUGACGAGGCACCACGGUGCUGAAGCAACAAAUGCCCUGCUUCCAGGAAAAGCCUCUAAGCAUCAGGUAACAUCAAAUCGUACCCCAAACCGACACAGGUGGUCAGGUAGAGAAUACCAAGGCGCUUGAGAGAACUCGGGUGAAGGAACUAGGCAAAAUGGUGCCGUAACUUCGGGAGAAGGCACGCUGACACGUAGGUGAAGUGAUUUACUCAUGGAGCUGAAGUCAGUCGAAGAUACCAGCUGGCUGCAACUGUUUAUUAAAAACACAGCACUGUGCAAACACGAAAGUGGACGUAUACGGUGUGACGCCUGCCCGGUGCCGGAAGGUUAAUUGAUGGGGUCAGCGCAAGCGAAGCUCCUGAUCGAAGCCCCGGUAAACGGCGGCCGUAACUAUAACGGUCCUAAGGUAGCGAAAUUCCUUGUCGGGUAAGUUCCGACCUGCACGAAUGGCGUAAUGAUGGCCAGGCUGUCUCCACCCGAGACUCAGUGAAAUUGAACUCGCUGUGAAGAUGCAGUGUACCCGCGGCAAGACGGAAAGACCCCGUGAACCUUUACUAUAGCUUGACACUGAACAUUGAGCCUUGAUGUGUAGGAUAGGUGGGAGGCUUUGAAGCGUGGACGCCAGUCUGCGUGGAGCCGACCUUGAAAUACCACCCUUUAAUGUUUGAUGUUCUAACGUGGACCCGUAAUCCGGGUUGCGGACAGUGUCUGGUGGGUAGUUUGACUGGGGCGGUCUCCUCCUAAAGAGUAACGGAGGAGCACGAAGGUUGGCUAAUCCUGGUCGGACAUCAGGAGGUUAGUGCAAUGGCAUAAGCCAGCUUGACUGCGAGCGUGACGGCGCGAGCAGGUGCGAAAGCAGGUCAUAGUGAUCCGGUGGUUCUGAAUGGAAGGGCCAUCGCUCAACGGAUAAAAGGUACUCCGGGGAUAACAGGCUGAUACCGCCCAAGAGUUCAUAUCGACGGCGGUGUUUGGCACCUCGAUGUCGGCUCAUCACAUCCUGGGGCUGAAGUAGGUCCCAAGGGUAUGGCUGUUCGCCAUUUAAAGUGGUACGCGAGCUGGGUUUAGAACGUCGUGAGACAGUUCGGUCCCUAUCUGCCGUGGGCGCUGGAAGACUGAGGGGGGCUGCUCCUAGUACGAGAGGACCGGAGUGGACGCAUCACUGGUGUUCGGGUUGUCAUGCCAAUGGCACUGCCCGGUAGCUAAAUGCGGAAAAGAUAAGUGCUGAAAGCAUCUAAGCACGAAACUUGCCCCGAGAUGAGUCUUCCCUGAGACCUUGAGUCUCCUGAAGGAACGUUAAAGACGAUGACGUUGAUAGGCCGGGUGUGUAAGCGCAGCGAUGCGUUGAGCUAACCGGUACUAAUGAACCGUGAGGCUUAACCUUACAACGCCGAAG
rnacentral:rRNA from 1 species